GAUGAACGCUGGCGGCGUGCCUAAUACAUGCAAGUCGAGCGAACGGACGAGAAGCUUGCUUCUCUGAUGUUAGCGGCGGACGGGUGAGUAACACGUGGAUAACCUACCUAUAAGACUGGGAUAACUUCGGGAAACCGUAGCUAAUACCGGAUAAUAUUUUGAACCGCAUGGUUCAAAAGUGAAAGACGGUCUUGCUGUCACUUAUAGAUGGAUCCGCGCUGCAUUAGCUAGUUGGUAAGGUAACGGCUUACCAAGGUAACGAUGCAUAGCCGACCUGAGAGGGUGAUCGGCCACACUGGAACUGAGACACGGUCCAGACUCCUACGGGAGGCAGCAGUAGGGAAUCUGCCGCAAUGGGCGAAAGCCUGACGGAGCAACGCCGCGUGAGUGAUGAAGGUCUUCGGAUCGUAAAACUCUGUUAUUAGGGAAGAACAUAUGUGUAAGUAACUGUGCACAUCUUGACGGUACCUAAUCAGAAAGCCACGGCUAACUACGG
rnacentral:rRNA from 1 species